UAGCAAUUUAACUUCAAAUCGAAGAAAUACAACCAAAUUACUCGAAUGAAAUUAAUGCAGAGGAGCAAAUAUUUCUUAACUUAAGGUGUCCAUAGGCGACGGCACUCGUGGUCGGGGCAGAUACAGUGUAUGACUAGACCUUAUAAAACUUGACGGGCGAGACAAGAAAUCCUUUAUGAAGAAAGCUAUUUACGUCAGCCAAGAAGGGGCUGAUAGAAAGAAUUUUGAAUAAAUUAAUCGGAAUAAUACAUAUUUUCCUCGUGUUGAAGUGAUGAAAAAAUUUCGUGUUGCACUCUGUAGCAAAGUUUAUUUAACUCUCAUUCCUUGAAUCCCCGCAACUGUCAAUAAAAUUUUACUUUUAAAACCGU